GAGGGUAUAGCUUAGUGGCAGAGCACAUGCUUAGCAUGCACGAAGUCAUGGGUUCAAUCCCCAGUACCUCCA
rfam:Camelus ferus unplaced genomic scaffold scaffold2011, whole genome shotgun sequence.